rnacentral:rRNA from 1 species
GACGAACGCUGGCGGCGUGCUUAACACAUGCAAGUCGAACGGAAAGGCCAGUGCUUGCACUGGUGCUCGAGUGGCGAACGGGUGAGUAACACGUGGGUGAUCUGCCUUGCACUCUGGGAUAAGCUUGGGAAACUGGGUCUAAUACCGGAUAGGAACCGUCUUUAGUGUGGUGGUUGGAAAGUUUUUUCGGUGCAAGAUGAGCUCGCGGCCUAUCAGCUUGUUGGUGGGGUAAUGGCCUACCAAGGCGUCGACGGGUAGCCGGCCUGAGAGGGUGUACGGCCACAUUGGGACUGAGAUACGGCCCAGACUCCUACGGGAGGCAGCAGUGGGGAAUAUUGCACAAUGGGCGGAAGCCUGAUGCAGCGACGCCGCGUGGGGGAUGACGGCCUUCGGGUUGUAAACUCCUUUCGACAGGGACGAAGCGUUAUGUGACGGUACCUGUAGAAGAAGCACCGGCUAACUACGUG